rnacentral:lncRNA from 1 species
AGUCAAGUCAACACAUGAAAUUAACCAUCACACCAUGAGAACUUGGCUAUAUUCUCCCUGAACUGUCUUGAGGACGCCACUGAAGCCCUCCGUAUUAUAAUGAGUGACAGAACAUCCCCAAGCAGACUCUUUCGUCUUCACCCAAGGCACCUCCUCUGUGUUAACCCUGCAGUGAAAAGCAGGGAAAUAGCUGUGUGGUUUGGACAGUCUCUCAGCUCCCUGCACUCUCACAAGGCCAAGUGAUCGACAGCCCUAGUCUUUGAAGUUCUCUAUGAACCUUGAAGAAGUGAUGCCUUUCAGUCCUGAAAUCUCACUGCUGGUUACAGGUGGAAGUGACUGAUAAACAGUGAAAGUGGAAACCAAGCUAAGAAACCAGGAAAAUAAGCCAGCAAGCCUCAAAAGCUAGCUUUGCUUUUCCCCAUGAUCUGUAGUUACUGACUAAUAAAAUUAAAAAUCUAUGAAAAAC